rnacentral:rRNA from 1 species
UACGCAGGGGACUAGCGUUGUUCGGAAUCACUGGGCGUAAAGCGCACGUAGGCGGAUAUGUCAGUCAGGGGUGAAAUCCCGGGGCUCAACCUCGGAACUGCCUUUGAUACAGCAUAUCUUGAGUCCGAUAGAGGUGGGUGGAAUUCCUAGUGUAGAGGUGAAAUUCGUAGAUAUUAGGAAGAACACCGGUGGCGAAGGCGGCCCACUGGAUCGGUACUGACGCUGAGGUGCGAAAGCGUGGGGAGCAAACAGG